rnacentral:rRNA from 1 species
GACAGAGGAUGCAAGCGUUAUCCGGAAUGAUUGGGCGUAAAGCGUCUGUAGGUGGCUUUUUAAGUCCGCCGUCAAAUCCCAGGGCUCAACCCUGGACAGGCAGUGGAAACUAGCAAGCUUGAGUACGGUAGGGGCAAAGGGAAUUCCCGGUGUAGCGGUGAAAUGCGUAGAUAUCGGGAAGAACACCAAAGGCGAAAGCACUCUGCUGGGCCGACACUGACACUGAGAGACGAAAGCUAGGGGAGCGAAUGGG